GACGAACCGUCCAAACGUUAUUCGGAAUCACUGGGCUUAAAGGGUGCGUAGGCGGCCCGGCAAGUUGUGUGUGAAAGCCCUCGGCUCAACCGAGGAAUAGCGCGCAAAACUACCGGGCUUGAGGGAGACAGAGGUAAGCGGAACUUAGGGUGGAGCGGUGAAAUGCGUUGAUAUCCUAAGGAACACCAGGAGCGAAAGCGGCUUACUGGGUCUCUUCUGACGCUGAGGCACGAAAGCUAGGGGAGCGAACGGG
rnacentral:rRNA from 1 species